rnacentral:rRNA from 1 species
GAUCAUGGCUCGGGAUGAACGCUAGCUAUAGGCUUAACACAUGCAAGUCGAGGGGAAACGGCAUUAUGUGCUUGCACAUUUUGGACGUCGACCGGCGCACGGGUGAGUAUCGCGUAUCCAACCUGCCCUUUACUUGGGGAUACCCCGUUGAAAGACGGCCUAAUACCCGAUGUAAUUCAUUGAUGGCAUCAGAUAUGAAUAAAAGAUUUAUCGGUAAAGGAUGGGGAUGCGUCUGAUUAGCUUG